UACAGCCAUAUCAUGUUGAAACACCGCUUCCCGUACGAUCACCAAAGUUAAGCAACGUGGAGCCUGAUCAGCACCUAGAUGAGUGACUGCUUGAGAAUACCAGUUGCUGUAAU